UUGUUAUAUAGAGACUUUACCGUUCGUUCCUUGAGCAAGUCAGCAUUCCCUCGUGAUAUUUUUAUGUUCUGACGUGAAAACUGUAAGCAGGAAUAUUCAAGAAAUGUGUUAUUGGUAUGAAGUAUGGGGAUGGAUGUGAAGCUGCGUCUGGCGGUAUAUGACAACCCUUCGUCAGCUAAUGGGCAGUGAGGAGUCGGGGGCGUGCGUGUGUGUAGCUCUACGGGUGUGCUGAUAGCCGCGGUGAUCAGCGGCACAGACUUGUAUUAAUUUAGUGUGUGUAAGUGUUGUGCUGUACUAUAGACUAGACGGUGACUUGGGAGUGCGCAACGUGACCUGUGGAACGCCGGGGAGCUGGGACGCGGCGAGGCAAAGAGCAGCUUCGAUGAUGCUAAGAUGGAUGGUUUUGUUGUGAGCUUCCAUUGAGCAUCUUUUCCUCGUGUGCUACGUGGAGAGUGUCAGAAAAAAAAGAAGGCAGGACUCGGGCGGGCCAGCAAGACGGAUGGACAAACAACGUAUCAUCGAGUUCCCGGAGGCCGUUUUCAAUCAGGAGGCGAGGGCGCGAGCGUGUUGGAGUAGAGGAAAGGCAAAUGUUGUUUAGCAAGAAUGUCCGGAGGGAACCAGCUGAUGGAGUGUUCCAUCUGAUCAAGAAACUAUGACAUUCUGGGAACUGACAGAUACUGACUGAUUACUUUCUGGUAAGUAAUCACAAGCAAAAUGAGUGAAGCAAGCCACCCCCACCCCCUGCUGCAUGUACAAAAGGAUACACACAGAUAUAAGGAGACCACAUGCAGCCAGUCAGCCUACGCAUGACAGCCCCUAAGAACAAGUUAUCAAUCAUCUGCCUUUACCAUUUAUAAAUCAUCCAACACACAUUUGAAGUUAUCAAUAGUAUUUACAUCAACUGAACAACUGUUUAGUUUAUUCUAUUCAUCCAAUAUCCCAUUUGUAUUUGAUAAUAAUCUAAUAAAAGCUAUCUCUCUGAA